rnacentral:rRNA from 1 species
AACGCUAGCUACAGGCUUAACACAUGCAAGUCGCGGGGUAACGAGAGGGAAGCUUGCUUUCCUUGUCGACGACCGGCGCACGGGUGAGUAACGCGUAUCCAACCUGCCCAUUACCACGGGAUACCCCGUCGAAAGGCGGCCUAAUACCGUAUGCAGUCGUCAGAUGACAUCAGAGGACGACGAAAGGAUUGGCGGUAAUGGAUGGGGAUGCGUCUGAUUAGGUAGUUGGAGGGGUAACGGCCCACCAAGCCAUCGAUCAGUAGGGGUUCUGAGAGGAAGGUCCCCCACAUUGGAACUGAGACACGGUCCAAACUCCUACGGGAGGCAGCAGUGAGGAAUAUUGGUCAAUGGGCGCGAGCCUGAACCAGCCAAGUAGCGUGAGGGAUGACGGCCCUAUGGGUUGUAAACCUCUUUUAUGCGGGAAUAAAAUGUUUGACGUGUCAUACAUUGUAGGUACCGCAAGAAUAAGGACCGGCUAAUUCCGUGCCAGCAGCCGCGGUAAUACGGAAGGUCCAGGCGUUAUCCGGAUUUAUUGGGUUUAAAGGGAGCGUAGAUGGAUGUUUAAGUCAGUUGUGAAAGUUUGCGGCUCAACCGUAAAAUUGCAGUUGAUACUGGAUGUCUUGAGUGCAGUUGAGGCAGGCGGAAUUCGUGGUGUAGCGGUGAAAUGCUUAGAUAUCACGAAGAACUCCGAUUG